CCUACGGGAGGCAGCAGUGGGGAAUAUUGCACAAUGGGGGAAACCCUGAUGCAGCGACGCCGCGUGAGUGAAGAAGUAUUUCGGUACGUAAAGCUCUAUCAGCAGGGAAGAAAAUGACGGUACCUGACUAAGAAGCCCCGGCUAACUACGUGCCAGCAGCCGCGGUAAUACGUAGGGGGCAAGCGUUAUCCGGAUUUACUGGGUGUAAAGGGAGCGUAGACGGCAGCGCAAGUCUGGAGUGAAAGCCCAUGGCUUAACCAUGGAACUGCUUUGGAAACUGUGCAGCUAGAGUGCAGGAGAGGUAAGCGGAAUUCGUAGUGUAGCGGUGAAAUGCGUAGAUAUUAGGAGGAACACCAGUGGCGAAGGCGGCUUACUGGACUGUAACUGACGUUGAGGCUCGAAAGCGUGGGGAGCAAACAGGAUUAGAUACCCGGGUAGUC
rnacentral:rRNA from 1 species